rnacentral:rRNA from 1 species
AGAGUUUGAUCCUGGCUCAGGAUGAACGCUGACAGAAUGCUUAACACAUGCAAGUCGACUCGAGUCUUCGGACUUGGGUGGCGCACGGGUGAGUAACGCGUAAAGAACUUGCCUCUUAGACCGGGACAACAUCUGGAAACGGAUGCUAAUACCGGAUAUUAUGGUUUCUUCGCAUGGAGGAAUCAUGAAAGCUAGAUGCGCUAAGAGAGAGCUUUGCGUCCCAUUAGCUGGUUGGUGAGGUAACGGCCCACCAAGGCAAUGAUGGGUAGCCGGCCUGAGAGGGUGAACGGCCACAAGGGGACUGAGACACGGCCCUUACUCCUACGGGAGGCAGCAGUGGGGAAUAUUGGACAAUGGACCACAAGUCUGAUCCAGCAAUUCUGUGUGCACGAUGACGUUUUUCGGAAUGUAAAGUGCUUUCAGUCGGGAAGAAGUCAGUGACGGUACCGACAGAAGAAGCGACGGCUAAAUACGUGCUAGCAGCCGCGGUAAUACGUAUGUCGCAAGCGUUAUCCGGAUUUAUUGGGCGUAAAGCGCGUCUAGGCGGCAAGGAAAGUCUGAUGUGAAAAUGCGGAGCUCAACUCCGUAUGGCGUUGGAAACUGCCUUACUAGAGUACUGGAGAGGUAGGCGGAACUACAAGUGUAGAGGUGAAAUUCGUAGAUAUUUGUAGGAAUGCCGAUGGGGAAGCCAGCCUACUGGACAGAUACUGACGCUAAAGCGCGAAAGCGUGGGUAGCAAACAGGAUUAGAUACCCUGGUAGUCCACGCUGUAAACGAUGAUUACUAGGUGUUGGGGGUCAAACCUCAGCGCCCAAGCUAACGCGAUAAGUAAUCCGCCUGGGGAGUACGUACGCAAGUAUGAAACUUAAAGGAAUUGACGG